UGAAGGAUGCAGUUCAUGUGCUGCUUAGUGACUCACGGGGAGAAUGCCUUCAGUGUGAGAAGAUGCUGUCAGCUUAUCCAGACUUCAAGUUUGAGUGCAUUUGCUGUAGCUGCUCUUCUAGUAACUUUAUAAUCCUCUUUCCCAUCACUGUGUGUACUGUCUGAGGGCCACAUGUUUUUGAGGUGUCGUCCUGGGAGAUAUGGCAUGGAGAGCUGUAUCCUUCCCCUCGUUUUUGAGCGCAAUUUAGAACAUGAUUUUUUGCCACAGGAUUUAGCAAUGACAUCACCACUGGUCUGAAAACAACAGAUCAUUACUGAUACUCUUUGCUGUGAGUCCCAUUUUGCAGUAGGUGUUAACGAGGUAUUGGGUUGUGACGCAACAGGACACCUGCUGUGUUGUAAUAGGCGAUAACAGGGUAUCAGGUUGUGAUGUGAUAGGACCUCCCCUGCUCUGUGAGUAACAUGUGACGCAAGCUUAAGGGGCCUAGGUGAAACGGAAUGUGUAUUUAAGGAGUCGUCGUGCCUUAAUAAAUUGCCAUUUGCUUCUCCAUCGUAUUGGUGUCAGUGUUGCUAUGGCCCUGGCAAGUGUGGAUUGCUGGCCCUCUGGUGGUGCGGCCUUGGACACAGUGGUUGCCAGAGUACCAGAUGCAGAUUCUUCAGAUAUCUGUUGGCCUCAAUCAAAUUCCUGUUGAAUAUGUGUCAUGUUCCUGAAAUCAACCAGCAGCAAAUGUUUCUCAAACUAAGUCAUAGUACAAACUGCAGAAGCUGUACUACAGACACAAGUUUAUGGUCACAUCAUAGAGACUAUGAAGUGGUUAUCUUCACAAGUUAUUGUUCUAAUAAUUUGAAAUUAUUUGUCUUCUACUUAUUGAGAAGAAAAGUUUUAACAGUAGUUAUUCCAAUAACUUAUAAGUUGCUAUUGCAUAACAAAUGCAUUCUUUGGUUUAUUGUUUGGCUAAGUUUGUGUACAAUACUCACAAGGGUUUAAAUACUAUGUAUCAAUGAAAUAUUUGUAUGUCUUGAAAGUGCCAG
rnacentral:lncRNA from 1 species